rnacentral:lncRNA from 1 species
UAAAGGCAAGAAGGCUUUAGAACGAAAUACAGCAAGCCGGGUUCUACGAAGGAUUGAAAAUCAGCACGCACAAGGAAGCUUGAUGCAGAUAAACUUACAUUAGGAUCAGAAGGUGAUAGCGAUAAUGCCCUGGAAAAAAAUCCUGACGAGCUACAAGUGCAGCAGGUGCAUAAAGUCCAAAAAGUACCGCAGGUGCAAGAAAUUCAACAAUUACAAAAAGUUCCGCAGGUGGAACAUUUACAAAAAGUUCCGCCGGUGCAACAAGGGCUACCAUUAGCAAUCCUUCAGAAACAGCAAGAAGUACAAGUAGUAAAAUUUGAACCACAGGGAACUACACCAGGAAAACAGUGUAGUAACAACGGAAUGGGAAUUUUAAAAUACCUGAGGAAACAGGUAAAAAAGGACAAACAAUAGAAAUGGUUCCUUACACAUUAUUUGGUAGUUUAUAGGUAUUUUACUUAUAAUACUUUAUAUUAUGUCUACAGUUUAUAAUUUAGUUUACAGUUAAUUUACUUUUCAACUUCCAUAUCUUACAUGAAGGAUUUUUA